UGGGGAAUUUUGGACAAUGGGCGCAAGCCUGAUCCAGCCAUGCCGCGUGAGUGAAGAAGGCCUUCGGGUUGUAAAGCUCUUUCAGACGGAAAGAAAUCUCUCAGGAUAAUACCUUGGGAGGAUGACGGUACCGUAAGAAGAAGCACCGGCUAACUACGUGCCAGCAGCCGCGGUAAUACGUAGGGUGCAAGCGUUAAUCGGAAUUACUGGGCGUAAAGCGUGCGCAGGCGGUUUUGUAAGACAGAGGUGAAAUCCCCGGGCUCAACCUGGGAACUGCCUUGGUGACUGCAAGGCUGGAGUGCGGCAGAGGGGGAUGGAAUUCCGCGUGUAGCAGUGAAAUGCGUAGAUAUGCGGAGGAACACCGAUGGCGAAGGCAGCCUCCUGGGCCAGUACUGACGCUCAUGCACGAAAGCGUGGGGAGCAAACA
rnacentral:rRNA from 1 species